GCCUCAGGAACAACCAGGGGAAGAGGUUAGCUUGUCACCUGAGUCCUCCUCCUGGCUCGCUGCAUUCAGCCAGCUCUCUCUCCUGGAGAACUCCUGGCUCCCAUGCUCAGAAGCAGCUCCUCCUCCUCAGCUGCCUUGUCUUUAAAUGCCCCAGUGCAGAGCUGACAGGGCUUCAAGCCAACUUCCAGCCCCGCCCCCUUCCUGGCCUCGCUUCCUGUUUCCUGCCACACCCAACCUAGCUGUCUCCCUGGAGCUGUUUCCUGCAGCUCUCCCUGCCUUGCCCUCUCAACCCCACUGGGAUCCGACCCGCCUGGGCCCUUCUCAUCCCUACUGCCCCUGAGGGGAAUGAAAACCCCACAGGAGGGAUGCCAUGCCCUUCUUCAGACUCCACAAGGCCACCCAAGCAACCAGCUUUCCAAAUAAUCCAGCAGCUACAAUCACUAAAAGUACAAAUCCAUAAAAUGUCACAACAGGAAGGCAACAGUAAAACAUGAGGAAGGAGCUUCCUACAGAAUAAUGAAAUCUUGCUCUGGAAAAAGAUUCAGAGAUCACAUUGCAGGAAAGUAAGCCCUGGGGAGAGCCAGGCUUUGGUGUUACCAACAAGAAGAAUUUUCCCCUGGUCACCAUCUUCCUUGCCUCAGACAGCACAGAUAAAUUUACUUUCAAGCUCUUGCCUUGACUGCCGAGAAAGUCCCGUUUAUUCUUUUUUGGAACAUUAGCUCCACUCCCUCAUUGCUCACAUGGACUGCACCAGCUAAUGGGGAUUCCUUUCCCUCUUCUUUCCUGGAAACCUCAUCUCUCAGUCACUCUCCAAGUGAUUGGCUACUUGCAGGAAGUAAAUGUGUUGCAUUGUUAUCAGGCAGGGUUUCAAUACUUGAAACUGGGACAGGAAGAAUUUCUGCAUAAGAGGAUCAUUUCUGCGUAAGAGGAUAAUGAGAAUUUCUGCAUAAGGCCGUUCACAUGAGCAGCCCUACCCAGGCUUGGCCAGCCCUAUCUCGGUAGGGCUGUUUGUGUGAAGCACCAGGAUUGAGGCUGAUUUUUACUUGCCUUUUUGCCUGGGUAAGUGUGCUCUUUUACCCAGGUACAGGGACGGGGUUGUGUGUAUACUCGGGCUGCACGUAGCCCAAGCAGACACAAAACUGGGUGCCUAGAGUGCCCAGCUUGAGGGGAAAUCCCUCAACGCACUGUGCUCCUCACAUGGUGCAUUUAGGGAAACCUGGAGGCCGGGCUUCAUUUCCCCGUCCUCCAGAGAUCUCAAAGCAGCAUGGAUUGUGUGGGCACGCAAGCCGCACUCCACGCGAAGGACAAUCAAUCGUCUGGAGGGAAGGUAGGUUCAACCCUGCCUUCCUCUCGGCCUGCCCCUGCUGCUCCAGUAAUGGUCAGAAGAACAACUUUUAUGUGUGCAAAUGAUGAGUGCUCAUACUGCAAAGGAUUGGAAGUGCAGCUAACCUUUACAGAAGGCCAUCAGUCUGAUACCUUUAGGCACUGGUUUCAUCUCCUAUCUUUAUUAGCUUUUGAGUAAGAGUUCCACUGAGUCAGCUAACGAUUGUAAUAACAUCCUUGACAGCUUUACUAGUUUGCCAAAGUGCCAGAUUGUGUCAUGGGCAGCAGAAAGAUCAAGAAGCAUUGCUUCUUCUGAAAACCACUCUCAGUGUAAGUCAACAGAGCAAGCAGCUGAUUUACCAUAUUCACCUUUGUAAAAAAAAAGAAAGAAAAAAAGCCACAUCUGUUAUGCAGUGCAAGAGAACAUAAAUAAGUGAUUUGGAACAAUAUCAAGUCAUGAAACUGCAUGUUAUAUUAAUAAUGCAAUUGGUCCUGGUGUGCUUCUGUGAAUAGUAGGGAUGUGCACAAAGCAUUUUGGCACCUCUUAUUCUAGGCACCAAAACGAUUCGGGUUCCCCGACUGAAAUGUUUGGUGGGGGGCAGGUGAGGGGGAGUGGGAAUAGGAUUUCCCCUCAAGCUAGGCACUCUUUAAAUGGAGGGAGGCAGGUCUUACCUGCCUUAACUGUUCCCAGCAUCCUGUGGGCAUCAUUGUCACGUAAAUGGCAUCUGAGCAUGCAGAGACACCAUCUUGAGUGCUCAGCAACACUGCUGAGAUGGUGUCCGUGCACACGCAGAUGCUAUUUACAUGAUGAUGAUGCCCACAGGAUGCUGGGAACAGGGAACUCCUUGUUCCCAAACAGGAAGCCCCCACAUGGCACAGUUUGUAAGAAUGGACAGCGGGGCUGUUUGCUAUGGACAGUGCUGUGCUGGGGUGGUAGGGGCAGAGGAGGAGCAAUGGAGGGGCAGGUAAGACCUCCUGCCCUCCAUUUAAAGUACCCGCUUGCCACCACCCUAGAUGUGCAUGUAACACUUUGUUCACAUGCCUAGUAAAUAUCAGCUGUAGGGAGACAAGGCAAUCCAGAUUAGGACCAUGGCAUGGGGGGAGGUGUUUUGUUUUGUUUUUUAAAACUUAAUUAACAUAAGGAGUCUGCACUGUUGCAUAUUCUUUCUCACUCAAUAUAGGCAAUCCUACUGUGGUGCUUCACAGUUGUAGGUGACAUGCGGUCAUGUUCUAGAGCACUGUUCAAACUACUAUUUCAUCCCAGAAAGCUUGAAAGCCACUGAGUAGUGACUUCACUAUUCAAACUCAGAUAAGUAGAAGUCAGAGAAGGGAAAUCAGCAGGUUUUUUUGCACACAUUAUUCCAUGCUGAAUUGUCGCCACAGUGCCUGAUCAACAUAAGGAAGGGUGGGGGAAAAGCUGUUUAAAGGCUUUUGGUAUAUUAAUAUCUUUGUAAUCAGUAAUGUCUUUUUACAAUUUUACAUAUUAUUAUUGGUAUUAUUAGAAUGUCUGGAAGCUUUUUUUUAGAUGCAGUACUGUUCUGUUGAUCUUAACUGAUUCUUUUGUGAAUGUAUUAUGUAUGCAGAUCCAUGUUUUUACUCUUUAAUCACUUCUGCAGGAGUGGAUCCUUUGUGUUGGAAAUUCAUUGGAAUGUUGCCAGGCAUAUUUCAUUAAAAGUUGCUUUUGAACCUCUUAGGUUUCCUUUUGAAAAUGCAACCUCAUGAGAAAAACUCUGAUGAGUCCCUCUCCUACUUCACUCUCUACUUAUCAGGUUUUCCUUCCCAUCCAGCAUUAGAUUUGAUUGUAUAGUUUUAUUAUGUUUUGUCAUGGUCAGAUAAUGAAGUGCAAAUAAAAUCUAUCUAUCCCACCCAGCAUAACUAGUUUUUCUUAGUCACAAAGUGACUAAGUUAAUAUUCUGAUUUCUCAUUUACUUUUCAGUUGUUUGAUUGGAAGUGCAAUUCUAAGCAUGUCUACUCAGAAGUUAGUUCCACCGGCACUUCCAGCGCAGUGAACCACCCAUGGAACAGCAGGGCAUGUGUGCUGGCUCUGUGCAUGUCAAAAUUGAGUUCUUGCUUCCCCUGAGCAUGGAGAAGCUAUGCUGCUACUAAGGAUUGCAUCAUCACUGCAGCAAGAAGCCUUCCAUAGUGAAUAAGCAAUCCUUAGUAGCAACAAAGCAUCUCCAAACUUGGAGAAGUGAGAACAAUGUGCCUUGCUCUUCCAUGGAUAGUGAGCAGUGUUGUGUGUGAGUCACUGUGUCCAGUGGGUUGCAAGUAGGGAUGUGUGAGCCGACUUGAUUCGAACUGCAGUUAAAAUUGAGCUGGCCCAGUUCAGGUGGUCUGGGUUCGAAUCAGUCCAGCUUCCCAAAGGUCCAAGUUCAAACUGGACCGGCCCCAGUUCUAAGAACUGGUUCAUGGGCUGGUUUGGGGGGUAUAAUUGUUAAGGGGAAUUCUCUUUACUUGUAAAGGGGAAUGCUCACUAGCUUCCCCUUUACAAGUAUACGAAACGACCAGUUCAACCGGACCCGAGACUGGCUUAGGCUGGGUCAGUUCAAAUCCAGUCUGAAUUAGAACUGAAUCGGCCUAGCUUGUUCUGUGCACAUCCCUAGCUGUAAGUAGGGAUGUGCACUAACCUGUUCAGAGGCCCUUUCAUGGACCUCUGAACAGGUUCGAAAGACUUGCAGAUCAGCCAGUUCAAAGGCAGGAGGGCAUAACUUUAAAGACUGGGGAGGGUGCACUU